AUUGAACGCUAGCGGGAUGCCUUACACAUGCAAGUCGAACGAGUGGCGGACGGGUGAGCAAUAUAUCGGAACGUGCCCAGUAGCGGGGGUUAAGUACCCGAAAGAGUGGCCACUACCGCAUACUAUGGGAGCGGCCGAUAUCGGAUUAGCUAGUUGGUGGGGUAAAGGCUCACCAAGGUCACGAUCCGUAGCUGGUUUGAGAGGACGACCAGCCACACUGGGACUGAGACACGGCCCAGACUCCUACGGGAGGCAGCAGUGGGGAAUUUUGGACAAUGGGGGAAACCCUGAUCCAGCCAUCCCGCGUGUGUGAGAAGGCCUUCGGAUUGUAAAGUACUUUUAGCAGGGAAGCGGUAUCUGCAGAAUAAGCACCGGCUAACUACGUGCCAGCAGCCGCGGUAAUUC
rnacentral:rRNA from 1 species